rnacentral:rRNA from 1 species
GCCACGGCCAUACCACCCUGAACGCGCCCGAUCUCAGUCCGAUCUCGGAAGCUAAGUAGGGUCGGGCCUGGUUAGUACUUUGAUGGGAGACCGCCUGGGAAUACCAGGUGCUGUAAGCC